GUUGUUUGUUAUCCAGAUUUGCAUAUCCUCAUCCCGUCCUUUGUACUGCUACAACCUGAACGCCAGUGCUAGCCCUGCUGCUGGCUGGCUUCUCUGUUGAUAUCGGAGUACGCUGCAUAAAGGUUGUGACUCUGACUAGCACAGCCGUAACAGAAAAUAUGUCUAAACACACACACACAUUUUGGAAACUUGCUAUUGACCUGGAGUUUGAGAGGAUGUUCCCUGGUAAAGGCCACUCCUUCCUGGCCCAGUGGUCGUCGUUUGUGUUGCCCCGGGUUUACCAGAUCACCGAGCAGGAGAAACACCCGGACAUUUCUGCACUCCUCCAACAGGCUGCUGCACAGCAAGGAGACUCGUACACCCUGACCAUGCUGAAGGUCCUGCUCUACGUGCUGCCCCCGACAGCCUGCCGAUCCUCCUUACCCUGCCGGUCCAGCAUCAGACAAGCCAUUCGCUACCUGGUGGACAUUUUACCGAUUGACACCAAGGUGUCCUCCUUAUUCUGUGACCCGAGCUCCCUGGAGGGCCCCGAGUCUGUCUCCCACUCUCAUCCCUACAUAGUGAGCGUGGGUUCGCUGGACACCCCUGGCCGGCAGCUAUGCAUCCUGUCCCCAGCUGACAGGAUGGCCAUCCCUCUACCAGAGGAGGGCCUGAGCAAUGCCCUGGACAAGCUCUUCAAGCUGCUCCGCGUGUUUGAACUGGGCUACCCGGAGCAGCUGACCUGCCUGUACAGCUUCCUGGAGCACCUGUACGGGCUAGAGGUGACCCCGCGUGGUAACCACGACGACCCCAGUGGCAAAAGGUCGAAAGUGCUGGAGCUGUUGUCACGGCUGCACAUGUCCUCCUGACACACUGCACGGGCCCACCAGGUGUGAAGUUGACUCCCCACAAUCUCACUUGGGUGUAUUCAUUCCGCCCAUUGUGUUGUAAAUUGUUGUUUGUUGCUAAAUAUUUUGCAGCUGCGAUCAUUUACUCCAAACUCCAAGCUUACAUUUUUACUUUUUUUUAAAACAAUAAGCCUCUGGAAUUAGUUGAGCAGAACCCUAGAGUCAUCACUCCACUUCAGAGCAUGACAAAAUCCAUGAUAUAUAAAUGUGCAAGUUGUGCCUAAAACUAAGCAGAUUAUUAAGAGCAAGGCAUGUUUCCUCCGAAACACACAAUUAUGCACUACUUCCUGUCCAAACUGCUGGCUGGAGGGAAUGCUUUCUCCGGCCAACCACUUCUAUUAAGCUCACAGGUGCCCAAGAUGCUACAAGGACUUGUAAGAUUAGAAACCCAGAAACAUCCAAUCUCAGUAGUUUUAAAAUUAAGAGGGAGUGCUGGGCCAGUUUUAACAGCACACACUUGAGUAGGCAUAACCUAAUGGAAAAAUGCAAAUACACGCUUGCUAUUUCACUAGCUACUGAUUCACUGAUAUAUCAAAAUCCUGUUAUCUAUCUCACUAGCUACUGAUUCACUGAUAUAUCAAAAUCCGGUUAUCCGAGAUCCGGAACAGACUGGGUCGGAUACAACAUUGUGUAGUCUGCUGUCGGAUUACCAUUAAGAUGAGGAGAUUUGCUUUCGUUGCAAGCUGACAUUAAUGCUGCUAGAAUGGUGUGGAGGAAUGCGCGUGCGCUUCGUUUCAAUUGUGCUGGGUUGUAUCUUGACCUGCUUCCUGCUGCCCGGGUGUUAUAUAAACCUAGAAUCUGCUCCGGUGUCUUACAUCUCUAGCUUUUACGUAAUCUAGAAGAGCAUUUGGAGUAAACUGGUUUCUUUUGUGUAACAUUUUGCGACAAACAAAAUAUUUUGCAACAGUAAAGGUUGAAUAAACACCCCAAACCCCAGAUUCUUUAGCUGGAUUUUAGUAAUAUAACCAAAACAUGUCAGACAGAACUGAAUAGUGAUGGAACAAAAAGUGGUCUUUGUCUAUUAUUCACUGAAUUUUUACAUGCGUAAGGCAAAUACUUUCAUAAACAAUUCUAUGAAAUCUUGUUGACAAGGAAUUUUCCUUAUUUUGUACUUUUAGAUAACUUUCACAAUUGUUUAAGUAUUUAACUUGCUAAUGAUAUGUGAUGUCUUAUGUCUUGUGGUAUUUUUUAAAUAAAAGAAAUGUUUUCACUGUCC
ensembl:lncRNA